UACAGAGGGGGCGAGCGUUGUUCGGAAUUACUGGGCGUAAAGGGCGCGUAGGCGGCCUUCUAAGUCGAACGUGAAAUCCCCGGGCUCAACCCGGGAACUGCGUCCGAUACUGGGAGGCUUGAAUCCGGGAGAGGGAUGUGGAAUUCCAGGUGUAGCGGUGAAAUGCGUAGAUAUGUGGAGGAACACCGAUGGCGAAGGCAGCCCCCUGGGCUAACACUGACGCUCAUGCACGAAAGCGUGGGGAGCAAACAGG
rnacentral:rRNA from 1 species